GUAACUAAGAUAACAAAUACGGUAAUUAGUGAAAGACUGUGCCUUCAUGAUUUAAAUCAGCCUAGUAACUUCGAUUUUCUUUCAUCCCUGGUAAGGUAGACGAGAUAGGGUUGCCCGUUUGUAGAACUAUAGAGAGGGAGAGUGUGUUGAUGUCCUUCUAAGAUUCAAUAAAUGAGGGUACCUAUAGGACACUAAGAAUUUAUGAACCCUAAUAUCUGUUAUUG
rnacentral:lncRNA from 1 species